AACGAACGCUGGCGGCAGGCUUAACACAUGCAAGUCGAACGCGUGCAGCAAUGCACGGGUGGCUCCCGGGUGAGUAACCAGUGGAUAUCUGCCUUUUUGUUCGGCAUAACCCCGUGAAACUGGUGCUAAUAACGGAUGGUUCCUCCGGGUUGAAGAUUUAUCUCCAAAGGAUGGGUCCGCGUCCGAUUAGCUAGUUGGUUAGGUAAUGGCUCUCCAAGGCGAGGAUCGGUAGCUGGUCUGAGAGGACGAUCAGCCACACUGGGACUGAGACACGGCCCAGACUCGGACGGGAGGCAGCAGUGGGGAAUAUUGGAGAAUGGGGGCAACCCUGAUACAGCCAUGCCGCGUGAGUGAGGAAGGCCUUCGGGUUGUAAAGCUCUUUGGGCGGGGACGAUGAUGACGGUACCGGCAGAAUAAGCCCCGGCUAACUUCGUG
rnacentral:rRNA from 1 species